GACGAACGCUUGCGGCGUGCUUAACACAUGCAAGUCGAACGGAAAGGCCCUGCUUUUGUGGGGUGCUCGAGUGGCGAACGGGUGAGUAACACGUGAGUAACCUGCCCUUGACUUUGGGAUAACUUCAGGAAACUGGGGCUAAUACCGGAUAGGAGCUCCUGCUGCAUGGUGGGGGUUGGAAAGUUUCGGCGGUUGGGGAUGGACUCGCGGCUUAUCAGCUUGUUGGUGGGGUAGUGGCUUACCAAGGCUUUGACGGGUAGCCGGCCUGAGAGGGUGACCGGCCACAUUGGGACUGAGAUACGGCCCAGACUCCUACGGGAGGCAGCAGUGGGGAAUAUUGCACAAUGGGCGGAAGCCUGAUGCAGCAACGCCGCGUGCGGGAUGACGGCCUUCGGGUUGUAAACCGCUUUCGCCUGUGACGAAGCGUGAGUGACGGUAAUGGGUAAAGAAGCACCGGCUAACUACGUG
rnacentral:rRNA from 1 species